CUGUGGCUGGAUUCAAGUAAUCCAGGAUAGGCUGUUGCCAUCCGUGAGGCCUAUUCUUGAUUACUUGUUUCUGGAGGCAG
rfam:Oryctolagus cuniculus unplaced genomic scaffold chrTn0016, whole genome shotgun sequence.